AACUUUCUGUACCCCUGUCAAUAUUUUGUCUGAAACCAAUUCACAUUCACGGAUAAGACUUUCAAGGUAAGUGAAGUG
rnacentral:pre_miRNA from 1 species